GACAGAGGGGGCAAGCGUUGCUCGGAAUCACUGGGCGUAAAGGGCGCGUAGGCGGGAUGGCAAGUCAGUCGUGAAAUCUCUCGGCUCAACCGAGAAACGUCGGCUGAUACUGCCGUUCUUGAGGGAUGCAGAGGAGACUGGAAUUCCCGGUGUAGCGGUGAAAUGUGUAGAGAUCGGGAGGAACACCGGUGGCGAAGGCGGGUCUCUGGGCCUGACCUGACGCUGAGGAGCGAAAGCGUGGGGAGCAAACAGG
rnacentral:rRNA from 1 species